AUGGACAGAGGAGUCUGCUGGGCUACACAUAGUCCAUAGGGUUGCAGAGUCGGACACGACUGAAGCCACUUGGGAGACGUGGCUCUUAUUUUUUCCCAUGCAUUAAAUAAAGCUUUCUUGGAAUUACCAAUUUAUUAAUGUAUUUGAAGAAAGUGUUUGAAUUAGAAAGUGGGAGAGCUAAUCAUACCAAACAAUGGAGUCCAGAAAACAUCUUUCAGGAACUUAAGCGUUUUGCCAAAACCAUUGAAGAUUAUCCUCCGAGCCGCACACCCCUGCCCCCUUUUCAAUUAUUUAACUGGUCUUUUUCUUACUGUCACCAUUUUCAGCCUAAUAGGUUGAACAGACCAUUCCAACAUCAGCAUCACUUCUAUGCUUGGUUAAAUGGACAGAAUGUCUGGGAUAUACCGCAGAGUGUAAUUCAGUGUUUCUGAGUAAGGACCCAGGCAUGUGAAUAUCCAGCAACCAUCCAUGUGUUCAGAUGUGGUGCUUGGGAAAGCACUGCUCUGGACUUCCUUCUCUGUACCUCCUAGGAACGCAUCUGGUAGAGCAGUAUUAGAAAAAUGUGAAAAAGAAGCCGACUAUGGCCAUCGACCCUACUCCCUACCCUGGGCCUUCGGUGGGUGCUGAGUAGGCUCUACAACCAACACAGGCACAAAAAGCGUUUAAUGAACGAAGUCAACAAAGACUGGUUAGAAGCCACUCUGUGCCUACUCUCCUGGUUUUCUGGGAGUUAAGGAAGGAAAGAGUGGAGAGAAGAUUCUUAAGACACACAAAGAAAUGUACAACAGCUUUGUUAAGACUCUCAAAUUGAGCUGGUCCUACCACCUACUGCAUGAUACAUAAAUGCAUGCAUUUAUAUUUGCUCAUUAAACCCUACAUGUUGUGUGA